UCCCUCCCACGCCGUCCCUAUCUCCUCCCGACAUCGCCGUCGUCGCCCAUUCGCCCCCGUCCCUGCAGUCGCCCGUGCUCCGCCUGCUCCACCAGGGCGCCUCGCCCUAGGGGAUGGUCUCCGACCACCUCCCUUCACCGCCACCACGUGCUCAGUGACGCCUAGGUCAUCGGCGCUGAAGUUUGGAGGCCCUGUACGUGCUUCACAGAGAUCGCCGACCAUGGGCUACGCAGAGAUCGCCAUCCGCCCCUCUGGGAGCGGCAAGAAAAUACAGAGGCAGGGUGGCCUAUCUCGAAGAUUUUCAAAUGUGUCCUAUUACGGUCUCACAACCCCGCCAUAUAAACUGGAUGCUCUGGAACCUUAUAUGAGCAAGAGGACAGUUGAACUUCACUGGGGUAAGCACCAUCAAGAUUACAUGGAUGGCUUGAAUAAUCAGCUGGCUACCAGCCCUCUGUAUGGAUACACUCUGGAGGAUCUGAUAAAAAAAGCUUAUAACAAUGACAAUCCAUUACCAGAGUAUAACAACACAGCACAGUGAAGAGAAAUGAGAGAAAGCUUUUGGUUGUUCAUACACGAAAUGCUAUCUCCCCACUUGCUUUUGGUGACAUUCACGCUUACUACUUAGACUACAAGGUGUGUGUUCCAGUUCUCUUUUUUGGUCCUUAACACUUAAUUUUGAAUUUUGACAAGUUAGUUAUAGCUUAGCAGAAAACUUCUAUGGUUCUUUGUUUGUCAACUUUUCAGGAUGAUAAGCUAACAUAUGUCACAAACUUCAUGGACCAUCUUGUCUCUUGGCAUACUGUCACUCUACGCAUGAUGCGUGCAGAGUCUUUUGUGAACCUUGGUGAGCCAAAUAUCCUAGAGGCUUGAGCUACAGAUACACCCUAGUUAUCAUCAUGAGGCAUUCUUCGGAUACAUCGGAUCAAAUCCUGCUGGAGGAGCCAGAGAGUUGGAAAAUCUCAUGUCUCACAAGAAAUGCUUAUCACCCCAAUGUCAUAUACGCCAAGAUAAGCUGCUGGGAUUUCACCAUUGCCCUUGGAUAUUCCUACAAGGAAAUCACUAGUCAGCAUCCAGUUUGAAGACAUGCAACAAAACAACUCUAGAAGCUAUGGAGCUGGUAGAUUCUGGAGUUGGCAGUAAGGCAGUGAUCCAACUUGGGCUUUGAAGCCAUGGUGCUUUCUCUAGACAGCUAUUAUGUCUGUAGUGUUGUUAGAAUAAUCCUGGUUCUGUGUUUUCAUAACUUCAUCAUGCUAGUGUUCUGCUGUAGCGGAACACAGAAUGGAACGGAACGAUAUUCUUGUUUUACUGGUUGAGCACUACACGACGAUUGUUUUUCUAGGGUGUUCUGGACAAAGAAAGCUUGUACCUUAAAACAGGAGGAUACAAGAAGCUGGAGUGGUUGUCUGAAGGCUUUUGAACUGCUUGAAGCAUUAGGUUAGCUCUGGAGAUUUUGUGAAUGAUCUAGCUAGCUAUCUGUAAAUGAUCUAGUUGUGAAUGAUAUUAUAAUUCUGAUGCUUUUGUGAAUA